CGGCCGCGCUCGCCCGCCGGGCUCCCUGCUUGCCGCCGAGGAGAUAGCAGGGGGGCGAGGAAAAAAGGACUACGAGGAAAUCUACUUCCCGGCGAGAGAGCCUUGAGUUCUGCAUUUCAACCUCAGGGCAACGUGGGCAGGGCCGGGCUGGGCCGGGAGCCGCAGCCCCCCGCUCCCGAGCCCGCCCCCGGGGGCGGCCCGGCGGCCCUGCAGCCCCGCCAGUGGCCGCGGGAGAUGACGGACAGCGCGGGGCCGGCGGCCUUUCCGCUGCCUCUCGCGGACGUGCUCAGCACCUGGUCCCUACCACAACAGCAACGCCCGCGUAAUACCUGCCAGGCGGUAAGCCGCACGCAAAGAGCAAUUAGCGCAAUUAGGGAGCGGAGCCGGAGCUGCGCUGGGCACCGCUGUGCGGGGCGUCGGGGCCGGGCACGGCGCACAGCGGCCCCCCGCCCCAGAGAGCGGCCGGGUGGAAACAGGACGGUGCCUGGGAGCGCACGCGGCUCUCCCGUCUUUGCUCUGCUGAUCUGGCAGAACUCCCAAAGAGCCAGGUCCUAUAAAGGAAGUAAAACGUGAACGGGAAUAAUACGGUGACGGCAGCGCACGGAAUAUCGGCGAGUGAAAUACGGAUCUGACGUCUCUGGUGUGUAUGAACGCUCCUUAUUACGUGAAAUAAUAAUAAUAAUCGAGCUAGAUUGCAGAGCCUUCGCAUAUGGCAGUCAGGAAUAGGGCGGAUGCUACAGGGAUCUCCCAGACAUUCGUCUCGCGUUGCAGACGUUUUGUGGAGGAAAGAAGAUGACCGCGGUUAUUUCGCACCUCUCUCCAUUUGAUCGGAAUACCCGCGGGUCCCUCCGUUCACUCCUCGGGUUUUCAACUCAACCAUUUCCUACGGCAGUUCUGUGUUUGUUUCAGGAACGCGAGGCGCACCUUCGGAACACCACGUGUGUAAACGGUGCGCUUCCAAAAGUCAGAUCCAUCACCUCUGCCGAGGGGGUCCCUCCGCACUGACACGCGCACACACCAAUUCAACCGCCCGAAAGCGAUCGCGUCCUUCAUUCGCUGCAGCCAGAGCCCUCCUCGGCGCGCUGACCUGACCCGCCGCGGCUAGUUUUAGGGCAGGAGGCGUUGAAUUAGCGGGACCCGGAUCCAACAUUUAAUUAAAUUGAUUACUUAAUUAAACAAAGGAGAGGAGUGCGUGUUUGUGAGCCCGAGGACCUGCAUUAGCAGCGCGCCCUCUCCGAAGAACGGCCGCCGGGAGCCCCGGCCGCUCCCUCGCCGCUGCCGCCCGGCCCUGGCCCCAUUACCUCCCGCUGCCCCCCUCCCGGCUCCCGGCGGUGUGAAGCCGGGCCGAGCUCCACGCAUCCUCUCGGUUCCAGCCCGGCCCCGCGGCUCCCGCACUCGGUGUCCCCGAGGGUUGCCCCGCUGCUCGGACGUGAGCCCGCGCUGCUCGCUCACUCUGUUUCUCUCCCAUCUGUGUCCAUUGUGUUCACAACUGUGUCCUUUCCUUUCGCCCCCCCUCCCCCCGAGUGUCUUCCAACCUGUCUGUUCCCCUCCUUCCCUCUCCCACCCCUCCACCCCGCCUCUGAUCUCCGGGAUAUUUGGUUUCUUUCCCUUUCUCAAUGUGUGUUCCUGAUGUGGUCCUGUCGGAAAAGCUCGUUUACUCUGCUCGGGUCUCCAGUGGUUUAAGGAUAAUGUUUAUCAGAAGUGAACGUGCUCAACUUGUUUCCAUUCAACUGCUGAGUGUGGGCUGAAAUACCAAAGGUCACAUCUACAGUGAGUCGGUAGAGGGCAGGGGGAGCCGAGAGGAAUAUGAAAACAUUGUAAUAUACAACAGCCUGUUGAUCGCUCGUGACCCGCCUGGCAAAAAGAUUUUUUUUUUUUUUUUUUUUUCAGGUAGGAAAUAAUUGAAGAAUUGAAGGGGAAAAGUGGCACGGAG
rnacentral:lncRNA from 1 species